UAAGGGAUCUUCCGCAAUGGACGCAAGUCUGACGGAGCGACGCCGCGUGCGCGACGAAGCCCUUCGGGGUGUAAAGCGCUUUUCCCAGGGACGACCCAAAGACGGUACCUGGGGAAGAAGCCUCGGCUAACUACGUGCCAGCAGCCGCGGUAAUACGUAGGAGGCAAGCGUUGUCCGGAAUCACUGGGCGUAAAGCGCGUGUAGGCGGAUGUCUAAGUCUGUCGUGAAAGCGCCUGGCUUAACCGGGCGAGGUCGAUGGAAACUAGGCGUCUAGAGGCCGGUAGAGGGGGGUGGAAUUCCGGGUGUAGUGGUGAAAUGCGUAGAGAUCCGGAGGAACACCUGUGGCGAAGGCGGCCCCCUGGGCCGCGCCUGACGCUGAGACGCGAAAGCGCGGGGAGCGAACGG
rnacentral:rRNA from 1 species